rnacentral:rRNA from 1 species
UUUCCAGAGAUGGAUUGGUGCCUUCGGGAACUCUGAGACAGGUGCUGCAUGGCUGUCGUCAGCUCGUGUUGUGAAAUGUUGGGUUAAGUCCCGCAACGAGCGCAACCCUUAUCCUUUGUUGCCAGCGGUCCGGCCGGGAACUCAAAGGAGACUGCCAGUGAUAAACUGGAGGAAGGUGGGGAUGACGUCAAGUCAUCAUGGCCCUUACGAGUAGGGCUACACACGUGCUACAAUGGCGCAUACAAAGAGAAGCGACCUCGCGAGAGCAAGCGGACCUCAUAAAGUGCGUCGUAGUCCGGAUUGGAGUCUGCAACUCGACUCCAUGAAGUCGGAAUCGCUAGUAAUCGUGGAUCAGAAUGCCACGGUGAAUACGUUCCCGGGCCUUGUACACACCGCCCGUCACACCAUGGGAGUGGGUUGCAAAAGAAGUAGGUAGCUUAACCUUCGGGAGGGCGCUUACCACUUUGUGAUUCAUGACUGGGGUGAAGUCGUAACAAGGUAGGCGUAGUGCU